AUGCAUCUAACCUUGCAGCAGCAAACACCAACUCUGGUUGUAAUGCUCUACCUGAAACCAAUUGUAGUCUUCCUGGCGAUGGCAUUGGCUAAACCUGCAGGUGGUGCCAUAUCCCUGGCGCUCCCUGGCUGCCCUGACAGGUGUGGUGAUGUGCCCAUCCCUUACCCCUUUGGCAUUGGCGCACAGUGUGCCGCGGUCAGCCUCAGCAGCUUCUUCAAUCUUGACUGCAAAAACACCUCCCACCCGCUGCAGCCGACGGUUGGGGGGCCAGCCGAUGUGGCCGUCAUCGUUGCUGAUAUUUCGCUGGAGCGCGGCGAGAUGAGGGUGCUCAUCCCUGUUAGCUACAUCUGCUUCACAUCAAGUGCAACUGUAUCGGCGAGCAAUAACGACACCGUGGGGUUCGGCCUGGAGGACACGCCGUUCCUCCCAUCCCCUGGGCGCAACCGCUUUACGGUUAUUGGCUGCAAUACCCUGGGUCUUGUUGGUGGUUUCCGCGGAGGCACGAGCCAGUACCUCGCUGGCUGCUACUCCUACUGCGAUGGUGCCAGUGGUGCGUCGGACGACGGAGCACCAUGCACUGGGACGGGCUGCUGUGAGGCAUCCAUCCCGACCAACCUCACCGCCUUCAAUGUGGCGUUCCCGAUUAACAGUAGCAGUGUGUGGGGAUUCAAUCCAUGCUUCUAUGCCAUGGUCGCCGAGGUCGGAUGGUACAGGUUCCAGCGCCGUGACCUCGCUGGCGAGCUUGGGUUCAUCAACAACAGGGCAAAGGAUGGUGCACCUGUCAUCGUGAACUGGGCGGUUAGGAACGGAUCAUGCCUGGAGCAAAUAAACCACGCAUGUACCAGUGCAAACAGUUACUGCGAGAGUGCGAGUAACGGACCUGGGUACUUGUGCCAUUGCUCCCCUGGUUACCAGGGUAACGCCUACCUCAACAACGGUUGUCAAGAUAUAGAUGAAUGCAUGCUGCGUGAGCAGGACCCCAAAUACGAGGAGUCGUAUCCUUGCAGGAACGGAGUCUGUCUUAACACUCCGGGAGGCUAUGAUUGUAAAUGCAACAAAAGAACCAAGUCUGAUGGCACAAAAUUCGGGUGUCGACCUCUGUAUUCUCGAGAUGAACAGCUAUUAAUAGGCCUGAGCGUUUCUGCCGUUGUGAUAAUAUCCUCGGCAUGCUUUUUGGCUAUGCAAUUACAAAGGAAAAAGCACAAGAAGGAGAAAGACGAGUAUUUCAAACAAAAUGGAGGGCUCAUGUUAUAUGAUGAGAUGAGGUCAAGGCAGGUUGACACGGUCCGCAUACUCACAGAAAAGGAGAUCAAGAUAGCCACUGACAACUACAACGAAGAUCGAGUGCUUGGAUGUGGCGGCCAUGGAAUGGUCUACAAGGGUACUUUGGAUGACCUCAGAGAGGUUGCUAUAAAGAAGUCCAAAGUGAUCAAUGAUGAUUGCAGGGACGAGUUUGUAAAUGAGAUCAUAAUCUUGUCGCAGAUCAACCACCGGAACAUCGUGAGGUUAUUAGGCUGUUGCCUGGAUAUAGAUGUCCCAGUGUUGGUAUAUGAGUUCGUCUCCAAUGGGACACUAUAUGAAUUUCUUCACGGCAGUGCUGAUCACAAUCUGUCACCAAUUCCACUGGACCUUCGCCUGAAGAUUGCGACACAAUCAGCAGAAGCUCUUGCUUACCUGCACUCGUCGACAUCCCGCACAAUUUUGCACGGGGAUGUCAAAUCCGCCAACAUUCUGCUCGACGAUCAGCGCCACGCCAAGGUUGCAGACUUCGGAGCAUCGGCGCUCAAGUCCAUGGACGAAAGCGAGUUCAUCAUGCUCGUCCAGGGAACCCUCGGCUACCUCGACCCCGAGAGCUUCAUCAGCCAUGUCCUCACCGACAAGAGCGAUGUCUACAGCUUCGGGGUCGUUCUCCUUGAGCUGAUAACGAGGAAGAGGGCUCUCUAUGCCGAUAGCUCCUCCAAAGAGAAGAGAUCCUUGUCCCAUAGUUUUCUCCUGAUGUUCCACCAGAACAUGCACCUGAAGAUGCUUGACUCUGAGAUCGCAGAGGAUGCCGCCGCUAUGGUGGUCGUUGAGAAGCUCGCGGCCCUCGCCGUGCACUGCCUGAGCGCGAGAGGAGACGACAGGCCGACGAUGAAGGAAGUCGCGGAGCGGCUGCAGGUGCUGUGCAGGAUUGAGAUGCAUCCGGCCGGUGAUGGUGACAACGAUGAUGUCUUCUGUGGGAGCUUGGAGACGUGA
rnacentral:rRNA from 1 species